UUACAGAGUUAUUAAACUCCCAUACCAUUUGCCAACUUACCUAGCUAUGCCUCGGCGUAAGCUCGGCCGGGAGGCGCGUCGUCGAGACAAGUGAGGGUGCUACCCUGUAGCCUCUCGUCUCCCCGGCGCGCCGCACUCCCGCCGUAGCCCGCCGGCGGUACACUAAACUCUUGUUUAAUUGUAUGUUCUGAGCGUCUUAUUUUAAUAAGUCAAAACUUUCAACAACGGAUCUCUUGGUUCUGGCAUCGAUGAAGAACGCAGCGAAAUGCGAUAAGUAAUGUGAAUUGCAGAAUUCAGUGAAUCAUCGAAUCUUUGAACGCACAUUGCGCCCAUUAGUAUUCUAGUGGGCAUGCCUGUUCGAGCGUCAUUUCAACCCUUAAGCCUAGCUUAGUGUUGGGAAUCUACCGCACGGUAGUUCCUUAAAGACAGUGGCAGAGCGAUAGGUGUCCUCUGAGCGUAGUAAUUUCUAUUUCUCGCUUCUGUUAGGCCCUACGGUCCCGCCGUAAAACCCCCCCUUCUCCAAAGGUUGACCUCGGAUCAGGUAGGAAUACCCGCUGAACUUAAGCAUAUCAAUAAGCGGAGGAAAAGAAACCAACAGGGAUUCCCCUAGUAACGGCGAGUGAAGCGGGAACAGCUCAAAU
rnacentral:rRNA from 1 species